UGAUUUUGAAAUCUUUGGCGCUACUAGA
rnacentral:piRNA from 1 species